GCUACUAGAGGUCCAUUUCAUUACUUUCAAAUAAACUCAUGAAACAAACUGUUAACCAAUUAACCUGACUAUUCCAUUAUCCUAACAUAACACUAAAUACAACUAAUGUGUGAAAUCAAAAGCUCUCAUACAUUCAAGACAUAUCAAAUGACAGUAUAGCUCAUAGAGCACAGUUUCAGUCCAUUCAUAUUUUAAGUUUUAAUUACAGUAUUCAAACAGCUCAAAGCCAAAGAGAUCUAAUGUAAAAUUAAACUAUCGCGAUGGUAGAGCCAAAGCAGUGAUAGAUCUUCAUUUUUAUUUUACUUUCAACAGGAAAUGCUACAUCGAAGGCUUGACGGGUACCUGUUUUAUGAAAUGGAACAGAGGAAUGGUCAGUCAGCAGCAACUCAAACGCAGGAAACCAAUGGAUGAUCAACCAAACACAAAUGCACAGCCCAGAAUGAACUCGAAUCAGAUUAAAAUGAGAUAUCGACCACAAAUCAACUGAAUGCACCCAAAUAAAUCGAAAUUGAGCUUGAAUUAACCCAAAUUGAACUAAUAGACCUCAGAAGAAUUUCAACACAUUAGAAUCAAGCUAUGAGACCAAGAGCAACUAUUGAAAUUUCGAGAUUGAGCCAAAAGCUCAAUGUAAUAGUACUUUUGCUGAUUUUUUUUACUGCAUUUUUUCUCUUUUGAAACUAAGAACUUAGAAGAAAAUUUGAAUCUGAAGUUUUUAGUUUCAGAUCUGGACUGGGAGUUUUUUCUUUGGGGAAUAUUGGGCUCCCCAAAAAAACCUCCCUAUUAAGGCAUUUAGGCAUGCCUUUUAUAGGCAGAGCUGAGGGCAGCCUUAUUUUCUGUUUUCUAUACCAGUCCCUAUUUAAUUUCAACUUCAAUACCCUACUUCUUGCCUUGUGACUCAAGUCAACCCUCUAUGUUAACUGAAAUAUGCCUUAACACCUACACCUAGAAGCUUCUAGGAAAUGCUAAUAUGCAUUCCCUGUUUUACCCUUACCCCUUCCCUGAAUUACCCCCUUGGAAUUAUCCGGAACUUAUUAACUACAUAUUUAAACAUUCCCUAAUUAAAUCAACCCCAAACCCCCAAACAAAAUUAAACUAUCAAACCAAACAAUUUACCCUAAAUUCCCUUAAACAACUCGAUUAUCCAGAAAGUGGAACAAUUAUAACAAGGAGGUAAUACUAAAUCAUUACGCUAAACUAAAGAAAAUUUUGAAGCCAGUCUAACAGAAUCAAACAACAAAUAUUGAUUAUACUUAUGCGGAAUCAGAAUUUUAAAGGGAUAUUUACAUAAAUUAAGAACUAACCAUUAACCUAUGAUCAAACAAGCCCAGGUGAGUCGGCGAACAACCGAAAGACUCAGAACACAAGAUAAGAAAAGAACAAUAGACAUGCAAAUUACAAUUGGAAAUUAACCUAGAUGAGAAGGGGAACAAACAGAAGAAUAUUAAACCACUCGAGAACUCACUGAUGGGCUUAAGGUCUGCUAACACUUGGUUCGAAUAUUCAAGCAGUCCUGUUGUCGUUUGACCCCCGGUGAUGGUAGAAAUAUCCUGAGGAAGGCGGGGAAAGUCCCAUACCACCGAUUUGGUGAAGUUUGAUGAAACCCAGGUUCGCCGAAAAAUUUUCAAACCUAAAUUCGAAUGAUUCCACCCAUAGUUGAAGGACGGGGUUAAGGGUGUUCGAUAAAGGAUGAAGAGAGGAUACUAGGGUGUUAAUUUGGGGCUGUUUGGCGUAACCAACAUCGUGGCCGAAAAACUUUAACCGGAUAUUCGACGAGCUCCGGCACGAUUCGAGGGACACCAACGGCAUGGUUAGAAAGAGGGAUUCAUGGGGAAUCUAUGGUGUGAAUUUGGGACGGAUUGACGUAGGUGUUGUUCAUCGCUGGCGGCGGCUCCGGUGGUGUUACAACAAAGUACGAGGAAGAGGACU
rnacentral:lncRNA from 1 species